AAAAAUAGUGAGGAAGGAAAGAAAGAGGGAAGGAAGUUAAGAAGGAAAUGAGGAAUGAUGGAAGGAACGGAGGAAGGAAGGAAGGAAGGAAGGAAGGAGAGAAGGAAUUAAGAAAUAAGUACAUGAAUGAAUAUUAAGCCAAAGACAUCCAUUAAUAUAUUUUUCAUCGCUAUAAAACAUCCAAUUUCUGCCUUAAAAUUAAAACAUAUACAUUUACUUAUGCUUAAGAUAAGUAAAUAAGGGUUAGGAUUUUGUUUUAAGUCAGGGGAUGUUAAUAAAGAGAAGAACAAUUGUUUAAUGGAAGAGGUACUGAAAGAAAAUGGGGCUAGGGUUGCCGGGGGUGAGGUUUAAGGGGGGCUACUCUAUAAUUAAGGGAAGAUGGGGUCAGGGUUGCCUUAACAGAAUAAUUUGCGGACCAUCUAGGGAAUACGUUGGAUUUUGGCGGCAAAGUCUGACCGAUGCCCGCGAGCGUUAUAAUAUUAUAAUGGUAGAAGUUUUAGCAGUGACUGAGGCGUUGCAAAGUUUAGAGAGGAUGAAGAUAGCAGGAUUAAAAGGAUGAUAAUUGGCAGCAGAUAGAUAGGUAGAAAGUGUUAUUAUUAGCGUUAGUAUUAUAAUAGUGGAUGUUUUAGCAGUGAGUGAGGCGUUGCAAAGUUUAGAGAGGAUGAAGAUAGCAGGAUUAAAAGGAUGAUAAUUGGCAGCAGAUAGAUAGGUAGAAAGUGUUAUUAUUAGCGUUAGUAUUAUAUUAGUGGAAGUUUUAGCAGUGAGUGAGGCGUUGCAAAGUUUAGAGAGGAUGAAGACAGCAAGAUUAAAAGGAUGAUAAUUGGCAGCAGAUAGAUAGGUAGAAAGUGUUAUUAUUAGCGUUAGUAUUAUAAUAGUGGAUGUUUUAGCAGUGAGUGAGGCGUUGCAAAGUUUAGAGAGAAUGAAGAUAGCAAGAUUAAAAGGAUGAUAAGCGGCAGCAGAUAGAUAAAGAGGGUUAGUAUUAGUGUCAGAGUUAGUAUUAGUAAUAUGAGUGGAUGUUUUAGCAGUAAGUUAGACGUUGGAAAGAUCAAAGAGGAGAAGCCUGCAAGAUCAAGAAAGAUGUGACUGACGCAUAAUGAUAAUAAUUUCGAAAGGACGAGAACGAACGAACGGACGAACGGAGGGAGGAAGGGAAGGAAGAAAUGCGAAUCUCCAGGAAGGAUCGAGUUUAGCAAAUUUAU